GCGGUAAUUCCAGCUCCAAUAGCGUAUAUUAAAGUUGUUGAGGUUAAAAAGCUCGUAGUUGAACCUUGGGCCUAGCCGGCCGGUCCGCCUCACCGCGUGCACUGGCUCGGUUGGGCCUUUCCUUCUGGAGAACCCCAUGCCCUUCACUGGGUGUGGC
rnacentral:rRNA from 1 species